rnacentral:rRNA from 1 species
GAUGAACGCUGGCGGCGUGCCUAAUACAUGCAAGUCGAGCGAACAGACGAGGCGCUUGCUCCUCUGACGUUAGCGGCGGACGGGUGAGUAACACGUGGAUAACCUACCUAUAAGACUGGGAUAACUUCGGGAAACCGGAGCUAAUACCGGAUAAUAUAUUGAACCGCAUGGUUCAAUAGUGAAAGACGGUUUUGCUGUCACUUAUAGAUGGAUCCGCGCCGCAUUAGCUAGUUGGUAAGGUAACGGCUUACCAAGGCAACGAUGCGUAGCCGACCUGAGAGGGUGGUCGGCCACCCUGGAACUGAGACGCGGUCAAGACUACUACGGGAGGCAGCAGUAGGGAAUCUUCCGCAAUGGGCGAAAGCCUUACGGAGCAACGCCGCGUGAGUGAUGAAGGUCUUCGGAUCGUAAAACUCUGUUAUUAGGGAAGAACAAAUGUGUAAGUAACUAUGCACGUCUUGACGGUACCUAAUCAGAAAGCCACGGCUAACUACGUG